rnacentral:misc_RNA from 1 species
UCCUGUGUUGUAUGCCUAACGUGAUGGAAAUUGAUCUCGGAUGAGUCCUAAUUCUAGCCUCUCACCACUUAGUGGUGUUAGGUCAAUGUGGAAGUAUUGCCCGUUCUUCUUGAAUGCUUCGCCAUUUCGCAUUGUAAUCGUGGCCCAUGGGUAGCUACUACUAGAUCCCUCGGAUGCAGAACUUUUGAAGGGUGCACAACAUUUUGCUAUUGCUUGCCCACAAAGCGUUCAUGGCCCGAUGCGUACGACGACUGUGCCCGCCUUGGUCCCCGUCUUUAACUAGUUUGGACGGGGCUCAUGCGGUGCCGGCGUCGCGGAGGAAUGCUACCUGGUUGAUCCUGCCAGUAGUCAUAUGCUUGUCUCAA